AUGCAAGUCGAACGCAGUAGCAAUACUGAGUGGCAGACGGGUGAGUAACAUGUGGGAAUCUGCCUUGUGGUUCAGGACAACAUUGGGAAACCGAUGCUAAUACUGGAUAAGCCCUUACGGGGAAAGUUUUAAUGCCAUAAGAUGAGCCCGCAUUUGAUUAGUUAGUUGGUGAGGUAAUGGCUCACCAAGACAAUGAUCAAUAGCUGAUCUGAGAGGAUGAUCAGCCACACUGGGACUGAGACACGGCCCAGACUCCUACGGGAGGCAGCAGUGGGGAAUCUUGCACAAUGGAGGAAACUCUGAUGCAGCGAUGCCGCGUGAGUGAAGAAGGCCUUUGGGUUGUAAAGCUCUUUUGUAGGGGAAGAUAAUGACUGUACCCUAAGAAUAAGGUCCGGCUAACUUCGUGCCAGCAGCCGCGGUAAUACGAAGGGACCUAGCGUAGUUCGGAAUUACUGGGCGUAAAGCGCGCGUAGGCCGUUGAGUUAGUUAAUUGUGAAAUCCCAAAGCUUAACUUUGGAACUGCAAUUAAAACUGCUCGACUAGAGUUUGAUAGAGGAAAGCGGAAUACAUAGUGUAGAGGUGAAAUUCGUAGAUAUUAUGUAGAACACCAGUUGCGAAGGCGGCUUUCUGGAUCAACACUGACGCUGAGGCGCGAAAGUAUGGAUAGCAAAGAGGAUUAGAUACCCUCGUAGUCCAUACCAUAAACGAUGAUUGCUAGAUGUUGGAAAUUUAUUUUCAGUAUCGCAGCUAACGCAUUAAGCAAUCCGCCUGGGGAGUACGACCGCAAGGUUAAAACUCAAAUGAAUUGACGGGGACCCGCACAAGCGGUGGAGCAUGUGGUUUAAUUCGAAGAUACGCGCAGAACCUUACCAACCCUUGACAUGUCUGUCGCGAGUUUAGGAAACUAGACUUUUCGGUUCGGCCGGACAGAACACAGGUGCUGCAUGGCUGUCGUCAGCUCGUGU
rnacentral:rRNA from 1 species